rnacentral:lncRNA from 1 species
CGAACAGUUGGCUCUGGCACACAUAAUGACACUUGGAAGGAAAGUCUUAUUUUAACAACGCUGUUGACUUUCCAACUUCUGCGUUACCACAGUCAUCAGAGUCCAAUUUACUCUUCAGGGGCCCUAAUCAUUCUAUACCUGAACUGGACAGAAAGAAAAUAAUUUGUUCACUUAACAGAAAGAAAGUCUAUACUCCCAAAACAAAAUGAGUCAGACAGUGAUCUUUGAAUUAACAGGCUCUGCUGACGGACUAUUUUCCCCACUUUUCAUCAGUCUGGUGACAGUGGACUCUGGACAGAGAUAAAUGAGAGGUCAAGCUACCCUUCAUUUUUCCAGAGGAUUAUUUCACCCACAGAUAAGGCACGAAGAAGGAAGUAAUAGUCAAGACCAGCCUGUGAGAAAACAACAAAAAAAGGAUAACUAACAAAAGCCCCAUUCUCCAGCUCUUGCCCCGGCCAGCGCUUCAGCACGGAAGUACUUGAGAAAACAGAAUGCACAAAUGGCUUACACGCUGCAGAAUAAAAAAGCAUGAGAACAAACCCAUUUGAAAGGAACACUUUGGCUUCAUGGUUCUCAUAGAAUUCUAAUGAGGAAUGGGUCAUUUUCUGGCACUAGAUGGGGAAACUAAGCAAGUUUCAUAAUGUCAGAGGAGACCCUAAAAC